rnacentral:lncRNA from 1 species
ACAAGGUGUGGAAGCUGAAGUACCCUCCAUAACAGGGGGAAUGGGGCGUCAAGCUAAUGACGAUAAAUGGGCGCUGCUUGGGAGGAAACCCAAGGGAACUGUUCGUGAUUUUUAUUUUUAGUUUCAAUUUUAUAUUAGUUUACGAGUUUUGUUUACUUUAAGUGGUUUAUUUUCUGGUUGUCUACUUUCAUAUAGUAAUAUGAUAAUUGUAGCUUUAGCGAUUGUGUGAAAAGUACCCAAAUUGAAAGCAUGUGUGUC